GACGUAGGGCGCAAGCGUUGUCCGGAAUUAUUGGGCGUAAAGAGCUCGUAGGCGGUUUGUCGCGUCUGCUGCGAAAACCUAAGGCUCAACCUUGGGCUUGCAGUGGGUACGGGCAGACUAGAGUGCGGUAGGGGUGACUGGAAUUCCUGGUGUAGCGGUGGAAUGCGCAGAUAUCAGGAAGAACACCCGUGGCGAAAGCGGCUCUCUGGAACGGUACUGACGCUGAGACGCGAAAGCGUGGGGAGCGAACAGG
rnacentral:rRNA from 1 species